GUUUUUUUUGUUUCUGCUCAGAUUGAACGCUGGCGGCAGGCCUAACACAUGCAAGUUAAGCGGUAAGGAGAAGCUUGCUUCUCUUGAGAGCGGCGGACGGGUGAGUAAUGCCUAGGAAUCUGCCUGGUAGUGGGGGAUAACGUUCGGAAACGAACGCUAAUACCGCAUACGUCCUACGGGAGAAAGCAGGGGACCUUCGGGCCUUGCGCUAUCAGAUGAGCCUAGGUCGGAUUAGCUAGUUGGUGAGGUAAUGGCUCACCAAGGCGACGAUCCGUAACUGGUCUGAGAGGAUGAUCAGUCACACUGGAACUGAGACACGGUCCAGACUCCUACGGGAGGCAGCAGUGGGGAAUAUUGGACAAUGGGCGAAAGCCUGAUCCAGCCAUGCCGCGUGUGUGAAGAAGGUCUUCGGAUUGUAAAGCACUUUAAGUUGGGAGGAAGGGCAUUAACCUAAUACGUUAGCGUUUGACGUACC
rnacentral:rRNA from 1 species